rnacentral:rRNA from 1 species
AUGGCCAGAGGCUACGCAGGCCGGCUCCAGGCCUUCUCCAAAGCCGCUCUUCUUGGUUUGGUCCUCUUAUCCAUGGUGACCUGGGUGCUGCAUGCAUGUUCUUGCCUGAGGGCCUUCCUCUUUGUGUCACUUCCUUCUGCUGCUUCAGCGAUCGCCACACCCAAGUGCCUCUUCAUCUUCUCCAACAUCAUCGUCCUCUUCCUCGCCACCGAGUGCAGGCUCUCGCGGAACGGUGCUCGAUCCACAAGCACUAGCGACGAUGACAUAGAUGCUGUGGUCCGUGAGCUUGUGGCUUUUACACACGCACUCAAAGAGACCCAUGCUGCAGAAGAGAUCGUCAAAGCAGAACAAGAAGUUAGUGUACGCAUGACCACGCAGCAGCUAGAUCAAUGUGAAAAGGAAGAAGAGAGUGACGUCGCACUGCUUAAUAAUUUAGGUGAUGACCUGCAAGAAGAGGUGAUGAAGGAAGAAGACUGUGAGGAGGCAACGGAGCUGCCUACCGAGGAGCUGAAUAGGAGAGUGGAAGACUUCAUUGCAAGAUUCAACAUGGAGAGGCAGCUCGAGGCAAGGAUGGUCGUGUGUUGCUGCUGA